GACGAACGCUGGCGGCGUGCUUAACACAUGCAAGUCGAACGGUGAAGCGCCUUUCUUUUUGGCGGCUGUGGGUGAGUGGCGAACUGGUGCGUAACACGUUAGUAACCUGCCCCCUUCUUCUGGAUAACCGCAGGAAAGUUAGGCCAAUACAGGAGAUUCUGGGUCUGUGGGAUGGUGGUCUGGGGCAGUUUUUGUUUCGGCGGGGGAUGGGAUGGCGGACUAUCAGGUUGUUGGUGGAGUACUGGCCUACCAAGGCGAUGUCGGGAAGCCGGCCUGAGAGGGUGGGCGGCACCAGUGGGGAGGAGACCCGGAGACGACUACGACGGGAGGCAGCAGUGGAGAAUAGUGAACAGUGGGAGCAAGGCUGCAGCAGCGACGCGGCGGGAGGGAUGGCGGCCGUCGGGUUAUGAGCCUCUUUCGCGAGUGAAGCACGCUUGCCUCGUAUGUGGGGGGGUUGACGGUAGCGGGAUAAGAAGCACCGGCUAACUACGUG
rnacentral:rRNA from 1 species